rnacentral:rRNA from 1 species
AGUGAACGCCGGCGGUAGGCCUAACACAUGCAAGUCGAACGGCAGCACAGGAGAGCUUGCUCUCUGGGUGGCGAGUGGCGGACGGGUGAGGAAUACAUCGGAAUCUACCUUUUCGUGGGGGAUAACGUAGGGAAACUUACGCUAAUACCGCAUACGACCUUCGGGUGAAAGCCGGGGACCUUCGGGCCUGGCGCGGAUAGAUGAGCCGCUGUCGGAUUAGCUAGUUGGCGGGGUAAAGGCCCACCAAGGCGACGAUCCGUAGCUGGUCUGAGAGGAUGAUCAGCCACACUGGAACUGAGACACGGUCCAGACUCCUACGGGAGGCAGCAGUGGGGAAUAUUGGACAAUGGGCGCAAGCCUGAUCCAGCCAUACCGCGUGGGUGAAGAAGGCCUUCGGGUUGUAAAGCCCUUUUGUUGGGAAAGAAAUCCUGUCGGUUAAUACCCGGUAGGGAUGACGGUACCCAAAGAAUAAGCACCGGCUAACUUCGUGCCAGCAGCCGCCGUAAGAC